UUCGACUUUCAUCUUGAAAUUUCGACUUUCAUCUGAAAAUUUUGAGUCAAAAGUAGAAAUUUGGUUCCUUGAGUGCAUUAUAAUUUACUAAGAGGUGAUGGUAACAGGAGGUUCGUGAAAUUGUUGUGUGAUUGAGAUUCAAUGGAAAUAUGUGGUUGAAAGUGGGAUCAACCUCAAGCGACUCUAAGGUUAGAAAUAAUCAUUAACUCUGAAUCAAUCAAUAAUUUCAACAAUAAUCAUUUCGAACUGAUGUUGAAACAAGAACAAAUAUUUCAGUUUAAUGUACAUUUUCGAAGAUGCUCAUGUCAAUGAUAUUUCAUUAAAUUUUACUACACUAUUCAUUAUUUCUCAUGAAAAAAUAUGUAAUUUUGAAGAUCAUAUCAUCGUCACAUUCGUCAUGAUCAAAAUAAUAGAAUUAAAUAAUGCAAAUUGAUUUCUCUCUGAUGUUCGUUUAGCUGCCGAUUCAAAUUUUUUCAAAUUAAUUAAUAUUUUCCCAGGUAAUUGGAGGAUAUUUCUUAAAAAGAGGAUGUCCCAGAACUUUACGAACCGAUAUGGGCACUGAAAAUGAAGUAAUGGAGAGGAUACAAAAAGCCUUUCAUGAAGUAUUUACUGAAUCAACAAAUCGACCAUGUUUUUUUGUAUGGAAAAAGCAUGCACAAUCAAAGGAUAGAAUCUUGGUGGUCUUAUUACAUAAACAUAAUGCACAAUACUAGAUGAAUUUAUUUCAAACCCUAAUAAAAGACAAUUUAUUUGAUGCAUCAUUUUCGCACAAGUCUCUAGUUCACUUUUGUUUCAUACCAUUAGUACAAAGUGAUCUUGUUCAAGUAUAUUUUGAAUGGAGAAUUCAUAGAAUACGGAAAACAAGAAAUGCUAUUGUUCCAGCAGAGAGACCAAGUAUAUUGUAUGCGAUGCCUUCUCUUUAUGGAGUUACAGAUCACCUCAUCAAGAUUCCAUCAUUUGCUUUUAACCAUUUUUCGUCGAAGUGUACAUAUCCCCGGACAGGUUGUGAUGAAGACUUUUGGAAAUUUUGUUCAAUUUUUAUGAAGAAAAUAAUUACACAAGGUCCUUAGAUCCUUAUGCCACAAUUGAUUUAUACAUUAACCUGAGAAGUGGAUUAUUUAUGUUAUUUCAAUAAAAUUUUAAUUGGUGA